rnacentral:pre_miRNA from 1 species
UAAGGAACUACAGGUGUGAUGUGUGAUUUCAUUAAACGUAUCACAGCCGUAGUUGCCUUACU